GACGAACGCUGGCGGCGUGCCUAAUACAUGCAUGUCGAGCGCAGGAAAUCGACGGAACCCUUCGGGGGGAAGUCGACGGAAUGAGCGGCGGACGGGUGAGUAACACGUAAAGAACCUGCCCUCAGGUCUGGGAUAACCACGAGAAAUCGGGGCUAAUACCGGAUGGGUCAUCGGACCGCAUGGUCCGAGGAUGAAAGGCGCUUCGGCGUCGCCUGGGGAUGGCUUUGCGGUGCAUUAGCUAGUUGGUGGGGUAAUGGCCCACCAAGGCGACGGUGGAUAGCCGACCUGAGAGGGUGAUCGGCCACACUGGGACUGAGACACGGCCCAGACUCCUACGGGAGGCAGCAGUAGGGAAUCUUCCACAAUGGACGAAAGUCUGAUGGAGCAACGCCGCGUGAACGAUGAAGUCCUUCGGGUCGUAAAGUUCUGUUGUAAGGGAAGAACAAGUGCCGCAGGCAAUGGCGGCACCUUGACGGUACCUUGCGAGAAAGCCACGGCUAACUACGUGCCAGCAGCCGCCGUAA
rnacentral:rRNA from 1 species